rnacentral:rRNA from 1 species
GACGAACGCUGGCGGCGUGCUUAACACAUGCAAGUCGAACGGAAAGGCCCUGCUUUUGUGGGGUGCUCGAGGGGCGAACGGGUGAGUAACACGUGAGUAACCUGCCCUUGACUGUGGGAUAACUUCAGGAAACGGGGGCUAAUACCGGAGAGGAGCUCCUGCGGCAGGGUGGGGGUUGGAAAGGUUCGGCGGUGGGGGAUGGACUCGCGGCUUAUCAGCUUGUUGGUGGGGUAGUGGCUUACCAAGGCUUUGACGGGUAGCCGGCCUGAGAGGGUGACCGGCCACAUUGGGACUGAGAUACGGCCCAGACUCCUACGGGAGGCAGCAGUGGGGAAUAUUGCACAAUGGGCGGAAGCCUGAUGCAGCAACGCCGCGUGCGGGAUGACGGCCUUCGGGUUGUAAACCGCUUUCGCCUGUGACGAAGCGUGAGUGACGGUAAUGGGUAAAGAAGCACCGGCUAACUACGUG